GUAUUGAUUGCGUGUGACCGCAAAAUAAAUAAAUAAAAAGAACAUUCUACACUGUAUCAAGUUUUAUGUGAAAACGCAAGCCCUCCUGCAAAGGGGACCCACGCGGUGAUGCACAAAGGUGAGAUGGAUUGUGUGAGAGCGCUCGGGCGUGCACGACCUUUAGAGGGUCAGCGACAGCCUUUGCACCUCAGUUGUACAAUAAUGAUCCUUCCGCAGGUUCACCUACGGAAA
rnacentral:misc_RNA from 1 species